UACGUAGGGUCCGAGCGUUGUCCGGAAUUACUGGGCGUAAAGAGCUCGUAGGCGGUUUGUCGCGUUGUUCGUGAAAACUCACAGCUCAACUGUGGGCGUGCGGGCGAUACGGGCAGACUUGAGUACUGCAGGGGAGACUGGAAUUCCUGGUGUAGCGGUGGAAUGCGCAGAUAUCAGGAGGAACACCGGCGGCGAAGGCGGGUCUCUGGGCAGUAACUGACGCUGAGGAGCGAAAGCGUGGGGAGCGAACAGG
rnacentral:rRNA from 1 species